rnacentral:rRNA from 1 species
UGGGGAAUCUUGCGCAAUGGACGAAAGUCUGACGCAGCCACGCCGCGUGAGUGAAGAAGGCCUUUGGGUUGUAAAGCUCUGUCGAACGGGACGAAAAGCUCCCAGGUGAAUAGCCUGAGAGUCUGACGGUACCGUGAGAGGAAGCACCGGCUAACUCUGUGCCAGCAGCCGCGGUAAUACAGAGGGUGCAAGCGUUGCUCGGAAUUAUUGGGCGUAAAGGGUAGGUAGGUGGUCUUAUUUGUCUGAGGUGAAAGCCUUGAGCUUAACUCAAGAAGUGCCUCAGAAACGGUAGGACUAGAGUCCUGGAGAGGGUCGUGGAAUUCCCGGUGUAGCGGUGAAAUGCGUAGAGAUCGGGAGGAACACCAGAGGCGAAGGCGGCGACCUGGACAGGUACUGACACUCAACUACGAAAGCGUGGGGAGCAAACAGGAUUAGAUACCCCCGUAGUCC